GAGAGAGGUAUAGUAUAUAUGUAACUAAGAAAAGAUAGAAAGAAAUCAUUUAUUAAUGAGUCGUUCUUUUCGGAGCACUUUUUAAGUGAGUCGCACAGGUGACUCGUUUAAACGAAUCGAUUAAAAUUGAGAGGGGGGUUGGGAGAGAGUUGGGAAAAAGAAAAAGUUAUGUUCCUAAGACAGUGAAGGAGCUUUACAGUAGAGGGAAGUGUUUUUCCGAAUGAGUGAUGAAGUAAAUGAAGCCGUGUCAGAUCGGGGAAAGAGUCGAUUCAGUGCGGUAAGAGUAACCGUUAAUGAUGAGCACAGUGAGGAAGAAAGGUGGGCGGGGCUGACGUCACGUGACUCGCGAGAAGUUUCCCCUUCUUCUGGCUGUUUUUCUUCUUUUCUUUCCACGUUGUUCAGUUUGUGAUUAGUACCAUGGAUGCAAGCUGGAGCAGAGAUCACCUCCAUAAGCAUCUUCAUAUCUGAUAUAGAUUUGAUUUGAUUUGAUUUCUCUUCAGUGUACUUGGUGAUGUCUGCAUGUCUGUAAACACACAAUGGUGUGGUUUCUAGAAGGGCUGUGCUUCCUGCCAACAUUUCUUGUCAUUUGGUCCUCGUGCACUUUUGUAGUGAACUACCUGAUUGCUGUUUCCCGUCAGGACAUCGAUGUGAUCUUCCCUUACAUCAGUGAUACCGGAGCGACCCCUCCUGAGAGCUGCAUAUUCGGUCUCAUGGCAAUAAUUUCAGCUUUCGCAGGGUUUGCCACCAUGUUUGCCAGAUAUAAGUUUGUGCAGAAGCUGAUCGAAAAAACAGGUGGCGUGUCCCCUCGAUGGAACCUGGCUGCUUUCAUCAUCGCCACGCUCUCUUGCAUAGGCAUGUGCUUCGUGGCAACGUUUCAGGAGGUAGAGCAGACGGCGGUCCACGAUUUUGGAGCCUUGAUGUUCUUCAUUUGGGGAGUGGUUUACAUCGUAAUGCAGACCCACAUCUCGUACAGGGUCCAUCCUUACGGAUCUUCAAAGCGCGUGUGUCAUAUUCGUGCCGUCUUUUCCUUGGUGGCGAUCUUGGCAGUAAUUCCAACUAUAAUUUGUGCGUCAUUUCUGAAGACGAACAAAUUGCACCGGACGUCAGAAGACAAGGUGUGCUAUAAACGCUGUAAUCACUUCAUCACAUCUCAGGAUGUUUCCGUCAGCUCUCUUGUCGUGGGACGGAUGGUCCUAUUGCCUCCGUAUUACAGACUGAGAAACACCAGCGAAUCAAACGUCCUGUUAUUCACCAAAAAAAAGAAGAAAGACUUAUUGUUUGUCCUUGUGUUUAUUUCUAGGACUACGUAUUCCAUGUUGUGAGCGCUGUGAGCGAGUGGAUAGCGGCCUUCACGUUCGUCUUCUUCUUCUUCACGUACAUACAAGAGUUCAAGCAGUUCACUUUGAAAGUGAACGUCCAGUUAUUGGAGUUCGCGUGAGUCCAACGUUACGACCGUCACUGUGAGACAUGUCUGAUUACACGUACGAGUCUGUAGGAGUGUCGUCGUCAUUUUAAACUAAACAAAGCAAUAAUAAUAAUAAUAAAUCAAUUUUAUAAGUUUUAUAAGCAAAUUUUAUUUUUAUACUCUGUUUAUAUCCAUGUUAUUUAAUCACUCAGGCCUGAAGGAAUUUAGCACAUUGCAAAUAAAGGUCUAUAAUGAUGCAGUUAUAGCUUUUGCACUUUAAAUCCAUGUUACUGUAAUGCUAACCCACAAUAAAAAGGAUGUAAUUACACAAUGUGCGUGACUCCUGUGUUGGGAAAUAAAAGCAUGUGAUGUCCUUAAUGACCGUGUGAUCACUUUGCUUUCAUAACGAACGUGUUGGGGGGGUGGGGCAUCAUACGUAUCAUGCGUUCCCCCACACGUUUGAUUGGUUACACUAGAACUUCACACAGUUUGUUAGAAUCCCUGGUCCAAGUGUAAUUCAUACUUACUAAAAAAAAAAAAAAAAUAA